GCUUAGGCUUAGGCUCAGGCUUAGGCUUAGGCUUAGGUUUAGGCUUACGUAUAGGCUUAGUCUUAGG
rnacentral:sRNA from 1 species